rnacentral:rRNA from 1 species
UACGUAGGGGGCAAGCGUUGUCCGGAUUUAUUGGGCGUAAAGAGCGUGUAGGCGGUUAGGUAGGUCCGUUGUGAAAACUCGAGGCUCAACCUCGAGACGCCGAUGGAAACCAUCUGACUAGAGUCCGGAAGAGGAGAGUGGAAUUCCUGGUGUAGCGGUGAAAUGCGCAGAUAUCAGGAAGAACACCCGUGGCUAAGGCGGCUCUCUAGUACGGUACUGACGCUGCGACGCUAAAGCGUGGGGAGCGAACAGG